rnacentral:sRNA from 1 species
AUGACAGUACUGGAAACUGAAAUCCUCUUUCUCCAAAGAACAGGUACAGCACAGCGGUAGCAGUGCAGACCUUCCCCACCCUGCCUCGUCAAUUUAUCUCAGCCCAGGCCUAGACAGACCACCUCUAGGAACUUCAGUCUCUUUUCUCGCUCACUGUUAGGCUUCU